rnacentral:rRNA from 1 species
GUGUCAGCCGCCGCGGUAACACGUAGGAGCCAAGCGUUAUCCGAAUUCACUGGGCGUAAAGCGCGUGUAGGCGGCUUGAUAAGUUGGAUGUGAAAGCUCCCGGCUCAACUGGGAGAGGACGUUCAAUACUGUCAGGCUAGAGGACGGCAGAGGGAGGUGGAAUUCCCGGUGUAGUGGUGAAAUGCGUAGAUAUCGGGAGGAACACCAGUGGCGAAGGCGGCCUUCUGGGCCGUUUCUGACGCUCAGACGCGAAAGCUAGGGGAGCGAACGGGAUUAGAAACCCCGGUAGUCCUAGCCGUAAACGAUGUAGACUUGGUGUAGGUGGUGUAAAAGCCAUCGGUGCCGAAGCAAACGCGAUAAGUCUACCGCCUGGGGACUACGGCCGCAAGGUUAAA